UACGUAGGGUGCAAGCGUUGUCCGGAAUUAUUGGGCGUAAAGAGCUCGUAGGCGGUUUGUCGCGUCUGCUGUGAAAAAUCAGGGCUUAACCCUGGACCUGCAGUGGGUACGGGCAGACUAGAGUGCGGUAGGGGGAGAUCGGAAUUCCUGGUGUAGCGGUGGAAAUGCGCAGAUAUCAGGAGGAACACCGGUGGCGAAGGCGGAUCUCUGGGCCAUAACUGACGCUGAGGAGCGAAAAGCGUGGGGAGCGAACAGGA
rnacentral:rRNA from 1 species